rnacentral:rRNA from 1 species
GGACCCGCACAAGUAGUGGAGCAUGUGGUUUAAUUCGAAGAUACGCGCAGAACCUUACCAACACUUGACAUGUUCGUCGCGACUCUAAGAGAUUAGAGUUUUCGGUUCGGCCGGACGAAACACAGGUGCUGCAUGGCUGUCGUCAGCUCGUGUCGUGAGAUGUUGGUUAAGUCCCGCAACGAGCGCAACCCUCACUUUUAGUUGCCAUCAUUAAGUUGGGCACUCUGAAAGAACUGCCAGUGAUAAGCUGGAGGAAGGUGGGGAUGACGUCAAGUCCUCAUGGCCCUUACGUGUUGGGCUACACACGUGCUACAAUGGUAGGUACAAAGGGCAGCCACUUGGCGACAAGGAGCU